rnacentral:misc_RNA from 1 species
GAUGAAGAACGUAGCGAAAUGCGAUACUUGGUGUGAAUUGCAGAAUCCCGUGAACCAUCGAGUCUUUGAACGCAAGUUGCGCCCGAAGCCAUCAGGUUGAGGGCACGUCUUCCUGGGCGUCACAUAUCGUUGCCCAAUGCCUAUUGCAGUGCAAUAGGAAUUUCUAGGGCGAAUGAUGGCUUCCUGUGAGCGUUGUUGCCUCGCGGUUGGUUGAAAAUCGAGUCCUUGGUAGGGUGUGCCAUGGUAGAUGGUGGUCGAGUUAGAACGAUACCGAUCAUGUGCAUGCUCCCCAAAAUAUGGCCUCUAUGACCCACACGCGUCUUUUGACGCUCAUGACGAGACCUCAGGUCAGGCGGGGCUACCCGCUGAAUUUAAGCAUAUCAAUAAGCGGAGGA